AGUCAUGUUUAUGGAAGCUAUGCGGCAGAUAUAACACGGUCUGUCUAUAAGAUGAGCAAGUUGCUAAGAAUGUUAUGGAAGCUACUGUCUGUCUAGUAAUGUUAUGGAAGCUACUGUCGGUCUAGUAAUGUUAUGGAAGCUACUGUCUGUCUAGUAAUGUUAUGGAAGCUACGGUCUGUCUGGAAUGUUAUGGAAGCUAUGUCUUCUAGUAAGUUAUGGAAGCUAUCGUCUGUCUAGUAAUGUUAUGAGAAAGCUACUCCGCUAUAUGUCUGACCUAGAGUAAUGUUCUAUGAAGCUACUGUCUGCUAUGUUGAC
rnacentral:lncRNA from 1 species